rnacentral:rRNA from 1 species
CUGAAGAGUGGCGAACGGGUGAGUAAUACAUCGGAAUGUGCCCAGUCGUGGGGGAUAACUAUUCGAAAGAGUAGCUAAUACCGCAUACGUUCUGAGGAUGAAAGCGGGGGACCUUCGGGCCUCGCGCGAUUGGAUCGGCCGAUGUCAGAUUAGGUAGUUGGUGGGAUAAAAGCUUACCAAGCCGACGAUCUGUAGCUGGUCUGAGAGGAUGACCAGCCACACUGGGACUGAGACACGGCCCAGACUCCUACGGGAGGCAGCAGUGGGGAAUUUUGGACAAUGGGCGAAAGCCUGAUCCAGCAAUGCCGCGUGCAGGAUGAAGGCCUUCGGGUUGUAAACCGCUUUUGUACGGAACGAAAAACUCCUUCUAAUACAGGGGGCCCAUGACGGUACCGUAAGAAUAAGCACCGGCUAACUACGUGCCAGCAGCCGCGGUAAUACNUAGGGUGCGAGCGUUAAUCGGAAUUACUGGGCGUAAAGCGUGCGCAGGCGGUUAUNUAAGUCAGAUGUGAAAUCCCCGGGCUCAACCUGGGAACUGCAUUUGUGACUGCAUGGCUAGAGUACGGUAGAGGGGGAGUGGAAUUCCGCGUGUAGCAGUGAAAUGCGUAGAUAUGCGGAGGAAACACCGAUGGCGAAGGCAAUCCCCCUGGACCUGUACCUGACCGCUCAUGCACGAAAAGCGUGGGAGCAA